GGCUCAGAUUGAACGCUGGCGGCAUGCCUUACACAUGCAAGUCGAACGGCAGCGGACCUUCGGGUGCCGGCGAGUGGCGAACGGGUGAGUAAUAUAUCGGAACGUACCUUUCAGUGGGGGAUAACGUAGCGAAAGUUACGCUAAUACCGCAUAUUCUGUGAGCAGGAAAGCAGGGGAUCGCAAGACCUUGCGCUGAUUGAGCGGCCGAUAUCAGAUUAGCUAGUUGGUGAGGUAAAGGCUCACCAAGGCGACGAUCUGUAGCGGGUCUGAGAGGAUGAUCCGCCACACUGGAACUGAGACACGGUCCAGACUCCUACGGGAGGCAGCAGUGGGGAAUUUUGGACAAUGGGCGCAAGCCUGAUCCAGCCAUGCCGCGUGAGUGAAGAAGGCCUUCGGGUUGUAAAGCUCUUUCGGCCGGGAAGAAAUCGCACGGGUUAAUACCCUGUGUGGAUGACGGUACCGGAAUAAGAAGCUCCGGCUAACUACGUG
rnacentral:rRNA from 1 species